rnacentral:rRNA from 1 species
UGGACGAACGCUGGCGGCACGCCUAACACAUGCAAGUCGAACGGACUUAAACGGAGCUUGCUCUGUUUAAGUUAGUGGCGGACGGGUGAGUAACACGUGAGCAACCUGCCUUUCUGGAGGGGGAUAACGUUUGGAAACGAACGCUAAUACCGCAUAACAUAUAUUUAUCGCAUGAUAGAUAUAUCAAAGGAGCAAUCCGCAGAAAGAUGGGCUCGCGUCUGAUUAGCUAGUUGGUGAGGUAAUGGCUCACCAAGGCAACGAUCAGUAGCCGGACUGAGAGGUUGAACGGCCACAUUGGGACUGAGACACGGCCCAGACUCCUACGGGAGGCAGCAGUGGGGAAUAUUGCACAAUGGGGGAAACCCUGAUGCAGCGAUGCCGCGUGGAGGAAGAAGGUUUUCGGAUUGUAAACUCCUGUCUUCAGGGACGAUAAUGACGGUACCUGAGGAGGAAGCACCGGCUAACUACGUG